GCCUUCGUGGCGUAGUGGUCAGCACACUGAGCCUGUAUUUCAGAUGUCCGUGGUUCGAUUCCCGCCGAAGGCG
rnacentral:tRNA from 1 species